rnacentral:rRNA from 1 species
CCUACGGGUGGCAGCAGUGAGGAAUAUUGGGCAAUGGGCGCUAGCCUGAACCAGCCAAGCCGCGUGAAUGAUGACUGCCCUAUGGGUUGUAAACUUCUUUUAUAUGGGAAUAAAGUGCAGUAUGUAUACAGCUUUGCAUGUAGGUUAUGAAUAAGGAUCGGCUAACUCCGUGCCAGCAGCCGCGGGAAUACGGAGGAUCCGAGAGUUAUCCGGAUUUAUUGGGUUUAAAGGGAGCGUAGGCGGGUUGAUAAGUCAGUUGUGAAAGUUUGCGGCUCAACCGUAAAAUUGCAGUUGAUACUGGCAUCCUUGAGUACAGUAGAGGUAGGCGGAAUUCGUGGUGUAGCGGUGGAAUGCUUAGAUAUCACGAAGAACUCCGAUUGCGAAGGCGGCCUGCUGGACUGUAACUGACGCUGAGGCUCGAAAGUGUGGGUAUCAAACAGGAUUAGAUACCCGAGUAGUC